rnacentral:tRNA from 1 species
GAGGGUGUAGCUCAGUGGUAGAGCGCAUGCCUAGCAUACAUGAGGGCCUGGGUUCAGUCCCAGUACCUCCA